rnacentral:tRNA from 1 species
GGAUAUAGCUCAGUGGUAGAGUGCGUAUCUAGCAUGUGCAAGGCCCUGGGUUCAAGGUUCAAUCCCUAGUAGUCCA